rnacentral:rRNA from 1 species
GAUGAACGCUGGCGGCGUGCCUAAUACAUGCAAGUCGAGCGAACAGACGAGGAGCUUGCUCCUCUGACGUUAGCGGCGGACGGGUGAGUAACACGUGGAUAACCUACCUAUAAGACUGGGAUAACUUCGGGAAACCGGAGCUAAUACCGGAUAAUAUAUUUAACCGCAUGGUUCAAUAUUGAAAGACGGUUUCGCUGUCACUUAUAGAUGGAUCCGCGCCGCAUUAGCUAGUUGGUAAGGUAACGGCUUACCAAGGCAACGAUGCGUAGCCGACCUGAGAGGGUGAUCGGCCACACUGGAACUGAGACACGGUCCAGACUCCUACGGGAGGCAGCAGUAGGGAAUCUUCCGCAAAGGGCGAAAGCUUGACGGAGCAACGCCGCGUGAGUGAUGAAGGUCUUCGGAUCGUAAAACUCUGUUAUUAGGGAAGAACAAAUGUGUAAGUAACUAUGCACGUCUUGACGGUACCUAAUCAGAAAGCCACGGCUAACUACGUG